rnacentral:lncRNA from 10 species
CUUUCGGAGCAUUACAGAGCCCAGCUCGUGGCAUUUCCCUCUUGAGCUUUUGCCUCCGCUUUGGGAUACCUGGGAUUCAGUUCAGGAAUGGAAUCCUUGAUUUAUGGAGAUCCAGGUGUCUCACUUUACAGCUGUACCUGCCUUUUACAUGUGCUGAGGAAACUCAAGAGAAGUUUUAGAGACCUCAAGAAGAGAGAAAUUCACCCAAUUCAUACAGGUAUUACCAGUCUGAAGAUACCUCGCCAUUUAAUUACCAACUUGAUUUCUCUCUCCAUAACUACCAAUCCUAUUUUAAUAUGUGAAACUGUCUAAAAAUAUUAUUUGAAAUGGGAAACUGAAGGAAAUCAGAAUAUUUUAUCCUGAAAUAUGGCUGAACUAAAGAAAUGACACCGGCAUCGUCUGACCUUCCUCCACUCCUGCCUCUUAACCCUUUAUGUCUCCCAAAGCAUGGGAUGAGGCUUUUCUCUGAAGUUCUCUUGCCUACCUAAAAUCUGGGCCCCCAAAGACAAAUACAAUUGCCUUUUAUCCUCUCCCUAAAAUCUCAUUAUCUAUGGUAGAAAAGAAGACUGAGUAAUGUAACCACACCAGGACAGAAUUUUUCACAUGAUAAUGUCUUCCUCUUGGGUUCAUUCAAAUUUCAGAGAGAAUUACUUACAAGUUAAUUUCUGCCUCCCAGGCCCAUUCAUCCUCUCUAAAAAUCAUUUACUGCCUCUCAAAAGAAUUGUCUAUUUUCCCCAUCUUCCCCCUCCCCUACAUGAAGGAUAAACUUUUGUACCCCAUUGGGUUAUUGGAUAAUCACACUUCUGCAAUUUUCCCACUGCUGUGUAUGUUAAAAUGAAUUUAGUAUGCUAUUUAUUUAUUUAUUUAUUUAUUUAUUUAUUUAUGAGAUAGGUCUCACUCUUUCAUUCAGGCUGGAGUGUGGUGGCAUAAUCAUAGUUCACUAUAGCCUCAAACUCCUGAGCUCAAGUGAUCCUCCUGCCUCAGCUACCCAAGUAGCUAGGAGUAGAGGUAGCAGCCACCACAUACAGCUAUUUUUUAUUUUUUAGUUGAGAUCGGCUCUCAACUAUGUUCCCCAGGCUGAUCUCAAACUCUUGGCCUCAAGUAAUCCUCCUGCCUUGGCCUCCAAAUGUGUGGGUAUUGCAGGCAUGAGCUACUACGCCUGGCGUAUGCUUUUUCUUCUAUUAAUCUGCCCUUUAUCAAUUAAUUUUCAGUGAAACUUCAGAAGGUGAAGGGGAUGUUUUACUUAGCCCCUACAAUACAAAAUAAAAGCUAGUUACUUAGAAAAUCUACUGGCAUAGUCAUUAGCAGUGCUCCCAAACUUUUUCUUAUCAAGGAGCAAAGGGAAAUUGGUCUAUUUUUAAGGUGCACUGUGAUAAAUAGAUGAGUUUUCUCUCAGCCAGGAAGGAUGAGCCCUAGGGCAUUGCCAUUUGUCCCUGAAGACUGAAUGAAUCAAUAUUUUGUCACACCUCCCAGCUCACCAGUGUGCCAUGGACUAUGCCUUAAUCACGAUUAAGAGCUUUUUUAUGAAAGACACACUUGUUGACAAAUUUUCUCAGGCCCUGAUACAAGUAAGGUCUACGUUUUCCUAAGACUGACUCUUAUUAUGGCCUUUAAUGCAAGUCCAUGGAACAAAGUCCCAUUCAGUAAAAGCUAUUCCAUCAUAGGCUCAAAGAUUAUGGCCCAGGUACCUGACUUUGUGAUUAUCUGGGUAGACCCAGAGAGAAAAUUUACCAUAUCUAGAGAAAUGGAUAGAGCGCUUAUCCUUCAGUCAUGUUAAAUCCCUUCUAGUUGAUAAAACCUUGAGUAAUCAGGAAAUGAAGGAGACUAAUAGAUUCACCCUUGAUGAAAAUUGACACCCACAUGCAAGUCUCAGGGAAAGUGAAUUUUCCAGACAGGGAAAGUGAAUUUUCCAGACAAAACCUGCUUGGGUAAUGUAAAUCAGGCCUGGGAGGCACCAUUUGAAUGCAAACAGACUUAAGGACUUAGUGCAAUUGCUUUCUGUCAUCUGGAUCACAAAUAAGAUGAACAGAUUUAAAGUGAAAGCCUUAGCUAUAAACCUGGUGGAAAAUAGAGCUAGAUCAUUGUACAAAGAAAUGAAGAAACUUAAAGGGGGAAGCAAACAUAUAUCCAAUAGCUCUAAAAUAGAAAGACCUUAUCUUCCUCAGGGGCUUGUUCAGAUACUCGGUAUCUUUUUUAUUCCAUCAUCACUAUUAAACUCUAUUCCUAUAAACGACUUAGUUUUUAAAUGUUCAUAGGUGUUUUCUCAUUUAUUUUCCUACAUAACCAAGAGGAUUACGGUAGAAAGAACUCUAUAGGCAUAUACUCCAAAGUUGUUUGGGGCACUGUAGUUUGUUUUUUGUGGCUUAGUGAUUUUUAAAUGCAAAACAGAAAAUAUCUGUUCAUUGGAUUGGUUAUACAUUUUAUGGCCAAAAGUUUCUUCU